AUUGAACGCUGGCGGCAGGCUUAACACAUGCAAGUCGAGCGGAGCGAGGGUGCUUGCACCUUAGCUUAGCGGCGGACGGGUGAGUAAUGCUUAGGAAUCUGCCUAUUAGUGGGGGACAACAUUCCGAAAGGAAUGCUAAUACCGCAUACGCCCUACGGGGGAAAGCAGGGGAUCUUCGGACCUUGCGCUAAUAGAUGAGCCUAAGUCGGAUUAGCUAGAUGGUGGGGUAAAGGCCUACCAAGGCGACGAUCUGUAGCGGGUCUGAGAGGAUGAUCCGCCACACUGGGACUGAGACACGGCCCAGACUCCUACGGGAGGCAGCAGUGGGGAAUAUUGGACAAUGGGCGGAAGCCUGAUCCAGCCAUGCCGCGUGUGUGAAGAAGGCCUUUUGGUUGUAAAGCACUUUAAGCGAGGAGGAGGCUACUUAGACUAAUACUCUGGGAUAGUGGACGUUACUCGCAGAAUAAGCACCGGCUAACUCUGUGCCAGCCGCCGCAGUAAGAC
rnacentral:rRNA from 1 species